CACACACUUCAUUGAGAUUUCUGAAUAAAAACUGGGAAUUGUCCAGGCAUCCAGCUCCCAGCACUCCGAGUCUCCAGGCGGCGAGCGUGCCUGCUGCCCUGGCUUAAGUAUGAGUAAUGAUAAAUAAGUAAAUCGCGCAGUGGGCUGUGCUAUUCCCUAAUGAGCCUGUUUGUCCCAAGCACAGUGCAAAAAAAACCUCUUCUCCUUGGCGAUAACCUUUCUGCGUAUUAACAUUAUGUAUGCAUUCAUGUGACUUCCUCUGCCUCACCACCACCUCUUCAACUCAUUUAAAUAAAAAUAAUUUAUGUGGACAUUCCUUCAGUCAGGAUUCCCCCCCCAAUAAUAUUUCGUUGAUGCUGUGCACCCAAAUGGGGUCGUUAUGCUUUCGCAUAUCAUUAGGGCUUUAUAAAGAACAACAGCGACAUCUGCAUGUGCCGCAGCGCUACAGAGAUGGGGGGAAAAAUACGGAAAACAAACCCCAAAUGAGCUCCAAGCUCAUCUGGCUCUGUCUUUCCUCAGUGCCUUCGCCACCACCACGGACACAAGUAAUUGUACAGUGUAAUCACAUCACGGCUCAUCUGAAUAUUCAUAACCAAGACAAAGACUUGGAGGAGAAGAAAAGUGGGGGAGGGAAAGGAGGAGAAUUUAAAUACAAAACAGCAUUUCAUUUUGAAGCAAAGUUCCGCAUUCAGCUCAAGAGAUUGUCUUGAUACCGAUAUUGUCUGUCUGCCGUUCCAAAGUGGUGGGCAGUGGUAGCAUCGCACACAUAGCCCCCUCCGUGGAGAAAGAAAAUAAAGCACAACAACAAACAGCGACAGAACUGCCCCCAGCAAAAGUGAUAUUUGAAGAGUCGCCAACGGUGGCUAACCAGCUGCUGUUUUUCCAGGAAAGAAACAGUCUAUUGAGGGAGCUUUAUAAAGACCCCAAUUAAUAUGUUGUGCAUGUAUAAGAUCUACAAAGAGCCCACUGUGUUCCUCCCCCCGCAACCACCACCUUCUCUUCCUGAUCAGUGCCAGUGGAGAAGGAUCUGAGCUACCAAAUAAUUGAUUAAUCACUUCAGCAGUGACAACACCCCUCUCCAAAAUAAAGAGAGAAGAAAAACAAACACAAAAAGAGGCAACUGUUCGCUAAUUAGUGUGUAAAUUACCGCUAGUUCCAUCCUUCUUUGUACCUUUAAAAAGGAAAAGAAAAGAAAAGAGAAAGAGUAGAAAAAUAUAAUCCCCAUCUUAAUGUAUAUGUUGUCUUCAUUUCUUUCGUAUUACUCUGAUAUCCUUUACUAGUAUUAACCCAGAAGUGUGGUGGUUGUCGAAGCUGUGGCUGGCUCUGCCAGUUCAUUCCCCAAAGAGCUCCUAUUUCCAUUCCACUGGAGCUUAUAUUCCUUUAAAUGUCUAGCGCAGCAUCAUUUCCCCCUUUCUAAUACAUCACUCUGCUGGAAUUAGAAGAAUCCAAGGUUAUAUCCAACUUCAAAGGUUUCCAAGUCAUCAUGAUUUUAGUAAAAGUAGAAGACAGAUCAUGGAACAAGUCCCUGGCUUUUGAAGAUAGGCAUCAUAGGGACCUUCCUCCCUCUGUCUGUUUCUCGCUCUCCCUCUCUCUCCCCCCAACUUUGUACCUCUCCAGCUCUGAAUGUCCCGCGCUAGCGCGGUUUAAUGAUAUGCAAAUGAAAUAUGCAUAAAACCAUUCUACUGUAUGAUGAUUAAACACUGGAGACAUUAACAGCCGACGCUUCGCUGUUUGACUAUAAUAAUCUUUCCCGAGCAUCCACUUUGAUUGCAGAGUUAUGGAAACCCAUAGCAGUUGGCAGAGAGAGAGUAAGAGAGAGAGCGAGAAGGAAGGAGAGAUGCAGGGACGCAUCACCCAUCUCUGCAUUUAUCCCACUCCAGGAGACGUUUCCCCCCCUUUGUACUGCGUUCCUACUGCUGUCUUUUGUAAUCCAUCCAUGCGGUCGCACCAGGGCGAUUAACGGGAAAAAAACCCUCUUUUCUCUUAAUGUUUCAAAGCUCAUUAGCCAAACGAUUAUUCCUCAUUAACAGCGAAAGCUCAUUCAUUAAAAGAAAAAAUAUGCCCAAAAGAUGCCAGCGCUGUUAAUCCCAAGCCCUGUAGCUGGGCUGUAAAUCCCAUGCUAGUAUUUUCCAUGCAGAAGGGAAGCGCGCCAAUCCACAAAAAAAAACCAAGCAAAAAGAAAACAUUUUGUGUGUUUUGUAAAAUCCGCAAGAGAGGCAAUUAAUAUUCCCGUUGUAUGACUUUAUUUUUGUCUCUCCCUUUUGUUUCCAGUGCCCUUCCCUGGCUCAGCGCCUGGUGCCAACAGAACACCUUGCAGGAUCCUCAGCAGCGCAGACAACGUAAGUAGCCAGCUGUCCCUUGACGCCCUCUUCCAAAAGCCCCAAGCCCUCCGGACCCUGCGGAGCGCCUGUGCGGCUCUUUCCCUCGCUCACCCCUCCGGAGUGCCACCUGGGUUUCACAAGUAGCACCUUCCAAAUCUCUCUGUCUUCCAAGUUUGUGCAUGUCUGUGUGGCAUCCCUCCUCCUCCUUCACUCCCAUAGUGGAUCUUGUAAAGGGCUUCAGAUCGGCCCCAUUCAUCUCCCUGGUGAUAGCAGUGAAUGUAGAUAAAUCUCUGACUGCCUGCUUGCUGCUGGAGUAUGAUUUUUAUUUUGUCUUCAGUGUAUACCUAGGUCAAAAAGUGGGAUGUAUACUGACGUUGGGUGAGUGUGUGUGUGUGUGUGCCUGUGUCUUUCUCACUCUGUGUCUUUCUCUCUCACCCAAGCACACAAACAUACAUCUCCCUGCAUGUGUGUGUGUGUAUAUUACACGCGUGCACACAAAUAUAUAUCCACACACGGACGUAUGUGUGUAUACACAGAGGUAUACACACAUCUCCGUCAUACACACCCCCACACUCACACAUCUAAUCUGCAAUUAUCUGAGGCAUUGUGUGCAUAUGUGUAUGUGUGUCCAUACGCACACUGUUCUGUGUGCGUAUGUGCAUACACAGGCAUCUCUCGCUACACCGAUAAACAUUCCCUCUCCUCCCAGCAGAGGCUGUAUGCAGCUGUGAUCCUGCCCUAUAAGAGCCGUAUUCCGUCCUUCCUUCGGCGUGCUAUUCGGAGACCUUCAAGCUCCCUUCUCGGAGUCUCUCCCGAGCUGCAGAAUUGGCAUCUUUCCCUGAGGUUGUCCGAAUGGCAAGUGGCAUCGUCUGUAGCUUGCAUUCUUGCAGCUUCUUAUGGCAUUUCUCUCUCGAUGUCGGCUAUUCCCUUUUGUUUGUUGUUGACUGGGCUGGGUGUGGUUGGGGUUUUUUUGGAGUUAAUUGUAAACGAACCUGAAUGGCAAACACGCCAACAGCUUGCGAAAAGAAAAAAAAAAGAAAAAAAAAAAAAAGAAAGCCCCACACAAACGCCUUCUGCUGCGACAGAUGCCCAUGUUGCCCCUGGCAUGGAGAACGGGCACAAGGGGUUUGUUGUUGAGGUUUUUUCUGUUGCUGUUUUUAUUGUUCGCAUUUCCCUUUUCCCUUUAUUUUUAAAGACUCCAAGAUGCCGGCCUCGGCUUGGAACGGAGCGGUGUCAUGGCGGAGACGACGGCCUUUGUCUCACAGGGUGUGAAAGCAUCCGUUGUGCUGGCUCCACUGCGGCAGAAUGACGUUUAAAGGGGGGAAAAAGUGCUGAAAGUCCGAGUUGCGCAGCGCUGGUGGGGGAGCCCCUGGCCCCACAGCGGCGUGCGUCCGAGGAAGGGCUCGCAGCGAAGGAGCCUAGUCUGUAAUCCUGGCACUCGCGCCUCCGGUUGCUGCCUGCCGUUUGCUCCUGGGGGUCUGGAUAAUCUCCCUUGGCUUUACCGCACUGUCUGGCCCGCGCACAGGGCCCCCGUAACAUAUACCCGCUGCCGCGAUCGCAGGGAGCUGUGGCGUUGCCACUGAAUGGAUGGCACUGUGCCAACUCCGCUGCCAUCCGCCCUUGCAGCUCUUUUCCUCCCUCCUCCCUCCCGCUCUCCCCUCCUCCUCCUCCUCCCGUCGACUUGACGUUAAUUAACACACGGGUUAAUUGAUUUUAAAAGCUGAAGAAUUACAGUUAACUUUUCCCACAGGGUACGGACGCCAGCCGCUUGGCACGGUUCUGCCGCUCGCGCUGGUGCAGGGGGGCAGGGAAGAGCCCGCAGCAAAACCAGCGACUGCGGAGGGAUGGACGGACGGUCGUCCGCCUGUUGGAGUGUGGCUGGGGGCGGCUGACGCGCUCCUGCCUCGUCCUCCCGACAUGUCACCGCUAUAUUUUGCUAUAAACAAUCAAAGCAAUCCCUCCCCUCGCCUCUCCCACCCACCCUCCUUUCAGAAAGGCGAGCUCUGUCGAAGUUUAAGCAGGGAAGCCGUCCCCCCCAAAGGCUUAUCACAGCACACAAAUGACCAGCCUCUGCGAGGUCUUGCACCGCAGGGCUCCCCACCCCGAGCACCCUGCAACUGCUGAGGUGGGGCAUCGGAGGACCGCUGCCUGUUAUGGGUUCAUCCUGUCUUCCAGCGCUCUUUUUCGUUGCCUUAAUUGGCUCAGAUACGUUGCUUGGGGUGAAAUAUCUCAACCAGGGGAAAGUUAGUUCGUUGUAAUUACGAGAGAAAUAAACCAUGUGAGGGCUUUGUUUUUGUGCUUUUGCUCUCCCUCGCCCCAAUCUCUGCCGCGAGUGAGGGUGAGUGACGGUGCGGCUGGGAGGAGACGCAGCAAUGCUGGGAACUUGCUGCUUUCACCUUCCCGUGCUUUCAUUUUAUUUCAUUUUGUUUUUUUAAAAGCAUGAAGCAAGUGAAGCGACGAGAGGAAUCCAUUAUGCAAAUCAGGUCACAUUUGCAUAAUGUCUCAUGACUGGAAUAUGCAAAUGAGUUGUAUAAUUUAUGAGUGCCAGUGUCUGUCUAAAAGUGUUUCCCAGAAUUUAUAAAAAGUGAGACGCAGGGAGGGCAGCUGGGCUGGCUGCCCUGCCAGGAGGGCUCUGCGCUUUCUUUUCAAAGUCUUCCUUGAGAUCAGCAGCUCAAACGCUCAUUAAUGAGAAACAAGCCCCCCUUUCCACCCUGUCCCCCUCGGUUUAUUUUCCAUUUCUCCCUCUGCCAAGCCCCCGCCUGCUCCCUUCGAACUUCUCCAGGAGGCGUUCGGCUGGUGCAGGGGAGCCGGGACCGCGAUGGCCGCGCAGUCCCGUGUCGGCUGGCUCAGCCUGGGUCUCACUCUGGAUGUCUCUCGGGCUCGUACCAGCAGGAGAGACCCUGCCUUUCAGGCAAGCGAGCUCCAUGGGCACAGUGUGCAUCAGGGAGCUGCGUUGAGAGGCUUGCCUCCGACAGGCAUGGUGGGAUUAUUUGCAAUGCGCCACGUCUAAGUUGUGCUUUGAGUCAGAGACCCGUGCCUGACCUUCGGAAGAGCUGCAAGGUCGGUGCAGGGGUGGCAGUGCCAGUGGAGAGAGACCUCGAGUUUCCUGCCCAGAGCCGGCAGUGUUCAGCUUCAGCACUGAAGAGGUCUCCGGAAUAUCUGGAAAUGCAGGACAGUGUCCUCCUGUGCUUGGCCUCUGUGGUUCUCCACCUGCGGCGUUGGAAGGAUUCCCUGCAGGUCCCUCCUGAGACUUCCCCGGGCCUCUCUCUGCAGUUCUUGCUUUCUGUACCUAUGGAGCUGGAUGCUCAAGAGCAGAGGAUCUAUCAACUGCAGACCAAGCAGAGGGAGAGGCAGGCAGAACUGGAGCAGAAAUGCAGCCGGAUCCCGCAGCUCAGCCAGGACGUGGAGGCCAGCCACCAGCUGCAGGAGGAAGCUCAGAGCAGCAUAGGGAAGGGCUAAAGAUGCGAAAGUAGAGUCUGUCAGCUCCCAGUGAGGAGGGGAAAGUCCAGGGAACCGGAGAGACAGCUACGGCUCUGCUGACUGUAAAUAGGUGCUGGGAUUGCACUUGAUUUGAGGGUGCGACUGCUGUAAUGCACAGAUGUUCUGGAUGUUGCUCCUGCUGCUGACCUUCUCGGAGAGAAGGGAACAGGGUGGCCGGCAGAGACGAUGCCUCCUGGGACAAUGCUGUCCGAGCUGGUGGUAACAGUGACGUGUAGUGAGCCAGGAGACGAGCCUUGUUCAGGUCUGUUCAGCUACGCUGCCAUGGAUGAAAUCCUCAGUUUGCUCCAGGACAUGCAGACGAUUAGGGUGGGAGUACCCUCAUCGCCCUGUGGACCUGACAGGAGGCCUGCUGGGCAGCGCUUGUGCCAGUCCUCCCUGUGCUGGGUCUGUUUGCCCCUGCCCCGCUACAGCUCCUCUCUUCUGAUCCCCCUGUUUCAGAAGCUGCCAGGAGUCAGACGGUUUGCUCAGACAGCGUAUUCCUUCUGCAUGUGAAUCCGGCUUGGGAGAGCGUGCCGCUCCCCCGUCUCCUCAGCCACUGGGUUGUCUGCCGCGUGUCCACUCGGGCACCUGUAGCCGUGAGCGGAUUUCGACCACAAGCUGUCAUGCAGGUCCAUAUGGCAAACAGAGGUGGGGAGCUGAUCCUGAGAAUCUGUGCAGCUGCUGCCGCCGCACACUGCAGGGUUACUUGCUUAACCUGAGUCUGUCCUCCAUGGCACCCACUGCUAAUCUCUUUCAGCACCCCAUAAGACAGAAAAAUUAUGUUUAUUUUAACAACUCGAUAGUUAAAUAUUCUCAGUGUUCUGGAAGACUAAACCAGGUACUCUUGACGUUGGACUAUGGGGUACCAGCAUGCCGGGUAGCAGGAAUGAGCUCUGCACAGCCGGUUUGUCUGAGCAGCAGCUCAGAGGGCAGCUUUUAA